AGAGUUUCACUCUCGUUGCCCAGGCUGGAGUUCAAUGGCACGAUCUCGGCUCACUGCAACCUCUGCAGUGUGGUAGAACGCAGAUGUGGUAGAAAUAGCCACCGCAUCGGCCCACAUCAAAGUUUUAAACAAAGGAAGCGUCACAUAUUAAAAGCUGACUUGGUGGAUGUGAAGAGAAAAAUGGAAUCAGUAGCUGAGUGGUAAGAGAUUUGCAAAAGGAGAGAAGAAGAUGGAUUAGAACAAGAAUAAACAAACAGAACAACUACAACAACAAAACUAAACAUACUUCUCCUUAUACCAUUAAACCAGUCUCCCUAUCCUGGGAAUAGGCCAGUCCAAUCAAAUGGUUGAGACUCAUUGAUCUGAUGGAGUGUUAACUUUGUUUUUAAAGGUACGAAUUAAACACCAUUUGUCCUAUCUGAUUCACAAGGAAGCAGAAUUUUUCACCAAUGAUUGUGCAAGCUCCUCCUUGUUGGGCAGUGUAUCCAGGGCACAACUAUUUUGGAGUACAACAGUGGCUAAACUAUUCAUUUCUGACUGGAAUACUUCCAAUGUUUGCAUAGUGGUAUUGAACUCUGGUUCUAUUACCAUGGGAAUAUUUAGGAUCACCUUUUCCAAGCCAUGAAUUCUAAAACUUGGAAAUCAGGUCCUCGACAUUGAAAAGAACUUGGAGUGAGGAUAUAGUGGGUAUUCUAUGACAUCUCAUCUGGUAUGUUUAUGUGGCACUACUAUAUGAAUGAAGGAGCCCAAGUUUGUAAUUUGGCUAGUAUUCAAGGUGGAGUACAUGGUGAUGGAAGGUCCCAGAUAUCUGAGUCCAAACUGUCCUGACCUUUUAAGUGAAAACCCUUUACAUGCCUUGUUGCCACAUAAAAUAAAAAGAGAAAAAAAGACCAGUGCUGUUCAUGGUCAAAGUCAGAGUGGAACCUGCAAUUCUCCAGAUCUAAUGUGUUUCAUGACCCUUGUCAUUGGUCAUACUGGGAUCUGCAUACCUCCAUGUGCCCCUGGAAGAGCAGAACUGUUUGCCAAAUAUCUAAUACAGGAGGCCUGCAAUCUGGGUCUGGAAGCUGUAAGGCCUGGUUUUGUUACUUGGCCAAGUUAUUCCAGGUUUUUGGUCUACUCAUUCAUAAUUUUUGGUGUCGAGCAUCCGAACCGGGAGCACCUGAACUAUCUCGGGCUGUGCAAGUGUGGCCUGGGAAACAGCUGAAACAUUUGGUAAUUUGGCAAAUAUUUAUGCUUAAAAGGCAGUGCCGGAACCAAUUAUGACUUCCUUGAGGGGUUUGAGAAUGCUACCUAUGGAAUCCGACUACAGGGUUUGAGUGUAACAUUGCCUUGGUAUAUCUAGGAAGGGUCCAGGACCAUUUCUGUUUUCAAUGCAAAGGGGAAAAUUCCUUUCCAAUGACUUCAACUGAAUUGUUUGACAUUUCCCAGCCCAGACUCCAGACCUGGUGAUCAGAUGAUCCCAGCCCCAGCCUUCAAACCACUGCAAAUAGAGAAGAGACAAGCUAUCCCUGAGAGAGCCCUGCCC
ensembl:lncRNA novel transcript